UGCCACGUUGUGUUGGUCUAUGACAUAAAAUCCUAAUAAAAUACAUUUUUGUUUGUGGUUGUAACGUGUCAAAAUGUGAAAAAGUUCAGUGGGUAUGAAUACUUUUGCAAGGCACUGUAUAUUAUAGGAAAAUCAAACUGAAGGUGAAAAGACUAGAUUCAUGGAUGAGUAUUUUUCCAUCAGUGAUUGUGUUAUUCCUUAAGAAUUACAGAUUUACAGUAUUACAUAAUUUCAUGUGAUGAAUACAUAUUUAACCCUAUAUAUGUAAAUAUCCCAUUCAUUUGUUUAAUAGAUUUUGCAGCAGACCAAGUUGAUUGUGGCUCAUUAAGCAGCUCAUAUGGAUUCCUUUAAUAUGUUCCUCUAUGUGUCAUGUGUUACCAUCAUCAUACCGACUCUAAUGUCUGUUCAGUUGAUAAAACACACAUUUAAUGUCUUCUGUUAUUAAAGAAUGAUAGAAUUUCAACAAGUUAUUUAACUUCUCAUAAUUUCUAGAAAACUGAAGUGAAAUUUGCUUAGCAGUAAUACACUGGAAAAGCAUUAAAAAAAGCUUCUGGGCUUGGCACUGUAGCACGGCCACAACACGGAAACUUGUCACAAGUUAACUGUUCAAUAAAAAACACAUGUACUGACUCAUGUUAAUUUAAACCAUGACAAUACGUGCACCACCGCAAACACACGAACGGAGGAAAGGCCGCUCUUCGUCCAGUGCAUCGGCAACCCUGAAGCGAGAGUGAGAGUGGAACAGCCGGCGGUUCAGCACUUUGGCCUACGGCGCUAACCGCGAACUCCCGAUCUCCAGCACCGUGGCCAGCACCGCGGCAAGUGAGAGCGAUGCGGAGCGGCCGAAACUCACGCUGAAAAUCACCGACCAUUUUAUUUAAUUCUGAUCAUUUUCUAUUACAGUUUUUUUUGUCAGUGCGUUAAUCAUUAAUAAAUAAAAUGUGUUAGUACUGGUAAAGAAAUCACUAGCAUUAAAGUUGAUAACUUCUUAAUACUGAGGUGUAAAUACUGUAAUGUUAAAUCCUCAUUAGGUGUGAAUACAUUAACUUAACAAUGUUAACAAUGACUGGUUUUAUUUUAUUUAAUGUCAUUGAAUUCCGCUAGUAUUUUCUUAUACUGUAGUAAUGGGCUUGUACAUGAUUUAUUCAUCUCACUGCUGAUCUUACUGAUGUUGUGUAUCCCACUAUUUCUGAUGUGAUACCCAAAGUGGCUGUUGGAGAAAUUAAAUCCAUGUCCUAC